rnacentral:rRNA from 1 species
AUUGAACGCUGGCGGCAGGCCUAACACAUGCAAGUCGAACGCGUGGCGGACGGGUGAGUAAUGUCUGGGAAACUGCCAGAUGGCGGGGGAUAACUACUGGAAACGGUAGCUAAUACCGCAUACCAUCGGAUGUGCCCAGAUGGGAUUAGCUAGUAGGUAGGGUAAAGGCUCACCUAGGAGACGAUCCAUAGCUGGUCUGAGAGGGUGACCGGCCACACUGGAACUGAGACACGGUCCAGACUCCUACGGGAGGCAGCAGUGGGGAAUAUUGCACAAUGGGCGCAAGCCUGAUGCAGCCAUGCCGCGUGUAUGAAGAAGGCCUUCGGGUUGUAAAGUUCUUUCAGCGGGGAGGCGUUACCCGAAGAAGAAGCACCGGCUAACUCCGUGCCAGCAGCCGCGGUAAUAC